UGCCUACGGGACGCAGCAGUGGGGAAUAUUGCACAAUGGGGGAAACCCUGAUGCAGCGACGCCGCGUGAGUGAAGAAGUAUUUCGGUAUGUAAAGCUCUAUCAGCAGGGAAGAAAAUGACGGUACCUGACUAAGAAGCCCCGGCUAACUACGUGCCAGCAGCCGCGGUAAUACGUAGGGAGCAAGCGUUAUCCGGAUUUAUUGGGUGUAAAGGGUGCGUAGACGGGUAUACAAGUUAGUAGUGAAAUCCCUCGGCUUAACUGAGGAACUGCUACUAAAACUAUAUAUCUUGAGUACUGGAGGGGA
rnacentral:rRNA from 1 species